ensembl:lncRNA
AUCCAAUCCAAAUCGAAGAACAGGCAUGACUGUAGACUCAAGGCAACCACAUCCUUCCUUCUCAGGUUUGUUGCUAUUCUUGAACUCCUCUAUCUCCUGUCUCAUUAAGUCAGCCUUCUCCUUGUGGCCCUUCUCCAGUAGAUCCUUCUGCUCCUGCAUCUUGCACUCCAAGGCCCUGUGGAAGUCCUGUUCCUGUUGCUUCAAAUCCUCUUAUCUUCUCUUCCAUCUGCUUCAACUUCUCGUCUUUGCUUCUGCGAUCGUCCUCCAUGGUGCGCUCCAUCUCCAACCGUUUCUCUCCAGCAGCCUUCUUCUCCUGCUCCAGCACAGCUGAUCCCUCCUUCUCCUGUGAAUGGUACAAAUUAAGAUAUUAUGCUUGCAGGAUGGAAUACUUCUCUAGACUCUUUUCCUUCCGGAACUGUUCAAGAAUCUCCUCAGCCUGCAGAAAACAUCCCCAAAGGCUUCAUGUUUGCCAUCAAACAAUGAUAAAUCUAAAACCGGUUGGAUCUGUUUCCGAUGACCACUUCCAUAAGGACAAAACCAGCAGACAACAGAUUGAAUAUUUCUGGGAGCUGUAGGCUAAUCAUCCUCUGAAGUCACACCAUGGAUUUCCCAAUAUGCCUGGUCAAAAAUGCAGACGGCGAGCUUCAUGUAGUUCCUGGGGCCAUCAAGUACCUGAUGAGACUGAAUGAGCAAGUCGUUAGUGGUGGCGGUGGUCAGGCUGUACCGCACCGGCAUGUCUUACCUCAUGAACAAGCUGUCUGGAAAGAGAAAAGGUUUUGCCCUGGGAGCCACUAUCCAAUCCAAGACUAAAGGAAUCUGGAUAUGGUGUGUGCCUCACCCUGAAAAGUGAGACCACACCCUGGUGCUGCUGGAUACAGAGCAGAUGGGAGAUGGUAACCAUGGUUGACAGAGGAAGAACAAUGAUUCCAAGCACCACCCUCCUUUUGAAGCUUCCAGUCUUGUUAUUCGAACUCAAUCAGCAUGACAGAGUGACCUCCAGCCUUGUCCUCGUCAACACUCACACCUGUGCUAAUGAGAGAAUCACUGACAUGUCAGCUGGCCCUUUUGUGGCAGGGCUGAAAUACAGUGGAAAUGUUUUUGGGGGAUUUAGUUCAUUUGCAUGACAAAGAGGGACUUUGCAAUUAAUUUGAUCACUCUUUAAAACGUUCUGGAUGAUAUACAAAUUGCCAUCAUACAAACUUAGGCAGCA